rnacentral:rRNA from 1 species
GGUUAAGCGACUAAGCGUACACGGUGGAUGCCCUGGCAGUCAGAGGCGAUGAAGGACGUGCUAAUCUGCGAUAAGCGUCGGUAAGGUGAUAUGAACCGUUAUAACCGGCGAUUUCCGAAUGGGGAAACCCAGUGUGAUUCGUCACACUAUCAUUAACUGAAUCCAUAGGUUAAUGAGGCGAACCGGGGGAACUGAAACAUCUAAGUACCCCGAGGAAAAGAAAUCAACCGAGAUUCCCCCAGUAGCGGCGAGCGAACGGGGAGCAGCCCAGAGCCUGAAUCAGUGUGUGUGUUAGUGGAAGCGUCUGGAAAGGCGCGCGAUACAGGGUGACAGCCCCGUACACAAAAAUGCACAUACUGUGAGCUCGAUGAGUAGGGCGGGACACGUGGUAUCCUGUCUGAAUAUGGGGGGACCAUCCUCCAAGGCUAAAUACUCCUGACUGACCGAUAGUGAACCAGUACCGUGAGGGAAAGGCGAAAAGAACCCCGGCGAGGGGAGUGAAAAAGAACCUGAAACCGUGUACGUACAAGCAGUGGGAGCCUCUUUUAUGGGGUGACUGCGUACCUUUUGUAUAAUGGGUCAGCGACUUAUAUUCUGUAGCAAGGUUAACCGAAUAGGGGAGCCGAAGGGAAACCGAGUCUUAACCGGGCGUUAAGUUGCAGGGUAUAGACCCGGAAACCAGUGAUCUAGCCAUGGGCAGGUUGAAGGUUGGGUAACACUAACUGGAGGACCGAACCGACUAAUGUUGAAAAAUUAGCGGAUGACUUGUGGCUGGGGGUGAAAAUGGCCAAUCAAACCGGGAGAUAGCUGGUUCUCCCCGAAAGCUAUUUAGGUAGCGCCUCGUGAAUUCAUCUCCGGGGGUAGAGCACUGUUUCGGCAAGGGGGUCAUCCAUUUACCAACCGAUACAGACUGCGAAUACCGGAGAAUGUUAUCACGGGAGACACACGGCGGGUGCUAACGUCCGUCGUGAAGAGAGGCUGAAAGCAGACCGCCAGCUAAGGUCCCAAGAGUCAUGGUUAAGUGGGAAACGAUGUGGGAAGGCCCAGAACAGCCAGGGAUGUUGGCUUAGAAGCAGCCAUCAUUUAAAGAAAGCGUAAUAGCUCACUGGUCGAGUCGGCCUGCGCGGAAGAUGUAACGGGGCUAAACCAUGCACCGAAGCUGCGGCAGCGACACUGUGUGUUGUUGGGUAGGGGAGCGUUCUGUAAGCCUGUGAAGGUGUACUGUGAGGUAUGCUGGAGGUAUCAGAAGUGCGAAUGCUGACAUAAGUAACGAUAAAGCGGGUGAAAAGCCCGCUCGCCGGAAGACCAAGGGUUCCUGUCCAACGUUAAUCGGGGCAGGGUGAGUCGACCCCUAAGGCGAGGCCGAAAGGCGUAGUCGAUGGGAAACAGGUUAAUAUUCCUGUACUUGGUGUUACUGCGAAGGGGGGACGGAGAAGGCUAUGUUGGCCGGGCGACGGUUGUCCCGGUUUAAGCGUGUAGGCUGGUUUUCCAGGCAAAUCCGGAAAAUCAAGGCUGAGGCGUGAUGACGAGGCACUACGGUGCUGAAGCAACAAAUGCCCUGCUUCCAGGAAAAGCCUCUAAGCAUCAGGUAACAUCAAAUCGUACCCCAAACCGACACAGGUGGUCAGGUAGAGAAUACCAAGGCGCUUGAGAGAACUCGGGUGAAGGAACUAGGCAAAAAUAGUUGCCGUAACUUCGGGAGAAGGCACGCUGAUAUGUAGGUGAAGUCCCUCGCGGAUGGAGCUGAAAUCAGUCGAAUACCAGCUGGCUGCAACUGUUUAUUAAAAACACAGCACUGUGCAAACACGAAAGUGGACAUUGUAUACGGUGUGACAUACCUGCCCGGUGCCGGAAGGUUAUUGAUGGGGUCAGCGCAAGCGAAGCUCUUGAUCAAAGCCCGGUAAACGGCGGCCGUAACUAUAACGGUCCUAAGGUAGCGAAAUUCCUUGUCGGGUAAGUUCCGACCUGCACGAAUGGCAUGGCGUGGCGGGGCUUCUGUCUCCACCGAGACUCCAGUGAGGGUGAACUCGCUGUGAAGAUGCAGUGUGUACCCGCGGCAAGACGGAAAGACCCCGUGAACCUUUACUAUAGCUUGACACUGAACAUUGAGCCUUGAUGUGGGGAUAGGUGGGAGGCUUUUGAAGUGUGGACGCCAGUCUGCAUGGAGCCGACGAAAUACCACCCUUUAGUGUUUGAUGUUCUAGCAUUGGACCCGUGAUCCGGGUUGCGGACAGUGUCUGGUGGGUAGUUUGACUGGGGCGGUCUCCUCUAAAAGAGUAACGGAGGAGCACAGAAGGUUGGCUAAUCCUGGUCGGACAUCAGGGAGGUUGGUGCAAUGGCGCCAAGCCAGCUUGACUGCGAGCGUGACGGCGCGAGCAGUACAGCAGGUCAUAUAGUGAUCCGGUGGUUCUGAAUGGAAGGGCCAUCGCUCAACGGAUAAAAGGUACUCCGGGGAUAACAGGCUGAUACCGCCCAAGAGUUCAUAUCGACGGCGGUGUUUGGCACCUCGAUGUCGGCUCAUCACAUCCUGGGGCUGAAGUAGGUCCCAAGGGUAUGGCUGUUCGCCAUUUAAAGUGGUACGCGAGCUGGGUUUAGAACGUCGUGAGACAGUUCGGUCCCUAUCUGCCGUGGGCGCUGGAGAACUGAGGGGGGCUGCUCCUAGUACGAGAGGACCGGAGUGGACGCAUCACUGGUGUUCGGGUUGUCAUGCCAAUGGCACUGCUGCCCGGUAGCUAAAUGCGGAAGAGAUAAGUGCUGAAAGCAUCUAAGCACGAAAACUUGCCCCGAGAUGAGUUCUCCCCUGACCCUUUAAGGGGUCCUGAAGGAACGUUGAAGACGACGACGUUGAUAGGCCGGGUGUGUAAGCGCAGUGAUGCGUUGAGCUAACCGGUACUAAUGAACCGUGAGGCUUAACCUU